GACGAACGCUGGCGGCGUGCUUAACACAUGCAAGUCGAACGGAAAGGCCCUGCUUUUGUGGGGUGCUCGAGUGGCGAACGGGUGAGUAACAAGUGAGUAACCUGCCCUUGACUUUGGGAUAACUUCAGGAAACUGGGGCUAAUACCGGAUAGGAGCUCCUGCUGCAUGGUGGGGGUUGGAAAGUUUCGGCGGUUGGGGAUGGACUCGCGGCUUAUCAGCUUGUUGGUGGGGUAGUGGCUUACCAAGGCUUUGACGGGUAGCCGGCCUGAGAGGGUGACCGGCCACAUUGGGACUGAGAUACGGCCCAGACUCCUACGGGAGGCAGCAGUGGGGAAUAUUGCACAAUGGGCGGAAGCCUGAUGCAGCAACGCCGCGUGCGGGAUGAUGGCCUUCGGGUUGUAAACCGCUUUCGCCUGUGACGAAGCGUGAGUGACGGUAAUGGGUAAAGAAGCACCGGCUAACUACGUG
rnacentral:rRNA from 1 species